GGCUUAAAAAACAACCAAAAACAAAAAAGAAAUCCGUCGAACCGGAUUCGAACCAGUGACCUAAGGAUACCUGCUGACUCUACAGUCCUCCGCUCUACCAACUGAGCUAUCGACGGCACGGAGG
rnacentral:tRNA from 1 species